CCUACGGGUGGCUGCAGUGAGGAAUAUUGGUCAAUGGACGAGAGUCUGAACCAGCCAAGUAGCGUGAAGGAUGACUGCCCUACGGGUUGUAAACUUCUUUUAUAAAGGAAUAAAACGAGGCACGUGUGCCUUUUUGUAUGUACUUUAUGAAUAAGGAUCGGCUAACUCCGUGCCAGCAGCCGCGGUAAUACGGAGGAUCCGAGCGUUAUCCGGAUUUAUUGGGUUUAAAGGGAGCGUAGAUGGGUUGUUAAGUCAGUUGUGAAAGUUUGCGGCUCAACCGUAAAAUUGCAAUUGAUACUGGCAGUCUUGAGUACAGUUGAGGUAGGCGGAAUGCGUGGUGUAGCGGUGAAAUGCUUAGAUAUCACGAAGAACCCCGAUUGCGAAGGCAGCUUACUAACCUGUGACUGACAUUGAUGCUCGAAAGUGUGGGUAUCAAACAGGAUUAGAUACCCGAGUAGUC
rnacentral:rRNA from 1 species